UGGUCAUUUCAGUGUGAUGGAGUUAUCAGUGAUUUUUAUUUUCUUUCUUUUUCUAUAAAGAUAAUGUUUACUUUUAUAAUAAAAUGUUGUAACAACAAAAAAGAACCACUUGACCUAAGUAGUUUAAAGAGAUUUUGCUGAGCAGAUAUUCCUAACACAGUUUUAUCAGCAAUCAUUUUUAAGGUUAUGCAUAGGUUUCAAAGCACGUGUUGAUGACUCUGUCCCUCUCCACCAGGGAAGUAGGGUGUACCCACAGAAGUAGUCAUCUCUAAAUGUGAUUUCCCCUGGGAGAUAUUGUUUGGAAAUUUGCUGGAUGGAGUCUUUGUCCAAAACUCUCUUCGUUAAUAGUCUAAUAAGUGACUUCAGAUCUGUUAGAGACCCAGAGGGCAUGAGUCUCACUGUACCAUCCUCAGGUAGAGGACGUCACAUGGCUCACAGCAACCUCUAACUCUUGGGCUUACACGAUUCUCUUGCCUCAGCCUAAGCAACUGGGACUACAGGCGCCCGCCACAACACCUGGAUAUUUUUUUUGUUGCAGUUUGGCUGGGGCUGGGUUUGAACCCGCCACCCUCAGCAUAUGGGGCCGGCGCCCUACUUACUGAGCCACAGGCACCACCCGGUUUCUAAUCAAUUUCUAAAAUCUUUGGUAUUUCUUAACUGAUUUUGGCAAUAAAGAUUAUUCUGUUAUCA